rnacentral:lncRNA from 1 species
AGUGAAAUUAGGUUAAAACAUCAAUGCAAACACAGGGUUUUAUUUAUUUCUGUAGCACUUAAGUUUUUCAGUCCUGUCCAGAACUAAAAGAUAGCAAAUAUUUGUGGGAGGAGAGGGAGCAGCAGGUUUUUCUUUCUCAAAGUUUCCAGAAAGCUUCUGAAGCUGUGAUCAUAGUAGUCCUAAUGUGAUCCUACAGGAGCUCUGUAGGGUUAAAAACAAAAUUCUCCUUAAAAGUUUGUUCCAAAACUCUUUUAGGUGUGCCCUGAUAGCUGUUGGUAACAACCCUGCACUUCAUUCACACCACACCAGCUUUCUGCAUCAACACCUCUGUCCCUGCUCCAGUUAUUUUUUAAAUAUUUGCUCCUCCAGAUUUGACUGUUCCUUGGGAAUAGAAGAAUGGAUGCAAAUUUGAAAACCCCCACCCUUAAUGUAUGGCUGAAGCUGAUCAAGUAUUGUAAUAAUUUGCAUAAUUAGAAAGUUCCCCCCCAAAUCAUCAGCAACUGGUUUUCUUGAGAUUUUUCCUAUGUAAUGAAAGCAAACUUUCUCUGAAAGCUUUAAAAGAUGCUUAAUUGAUUAUGUCUCUUAAUUAUUAAUUUUUGGGCAAUAGCUUAUUACCAAUAGUGAGUUUGAAUAACCCUGAAUCCUCUUGUGGGGUUUUUCACACGAGGACCGAGGAUGCUGGAGGUGGAUCUGCUCUGCAGGACCAAGUGUUCAGGUUCAGGUGCUCUUUUCCUUGUCACAGCACCAAGACUUGAACUCUGCCACAAAAUAAGAGAGAAUGAAGCUAUUAUAGAGCUGUGUUAUUUAUUGUUCUUAGAAUAAAUUGUGAUGUCCUGACAGUUCUGUGCUGCUCACCUGAGCUCUUGCAAGCUGGGUAACCAGAGCAGUUCUUACAGUUUUAGGUUAUGCAUUUUUAGGAAACACUGUGGGAGAGUUGUCUUCAACCUCAGGGAUCAUUUCAGACAUUUUUAAACUCUUCCUUCUUUAAAUAACUGCCUUAACACCCUAUACACCUCCCUCAUCCUGCAGUGAUGGCCAUUCAUGCCU